UAAGCGACUAAGCGUACACGGUGGAUGCCCUGGCAGUCAGAGGCGAUGAAGGACGUGCUAAUCUGCGAUAAGCGUCGGUAAGGUGAUAUGAACCGUUAUAACCGGCGAUUUCCGAAUGGGGAAACCCAGUGUGAUUCGUCACACUAUCAUUAACUGAAUCCAUAGGUUAAUGAGGCGAACCGAGGGAACUGAAACAUCUAAGUACCCCGAGGAAAAGAAAUCAACCGAGAUUCCCCCAGUAGCGGCGAGCGAACGGGGAGCAGCCCAGAGCCUGAAUCAGUGUGUGUGUUAGUGGAAGCGUCUGGAAAGGCGCGCGAUACAGGGUGACAGCCCCGUACACAAAAAUGCACAUACUGUGAGCUCGAUGAGUAGGGCGGGACACGUGGUAUCCUGUCUGAAUAUGGGGGGACCAUCCUCCAAGGCUAAAUACUCCUGACUGACCGAUAGUGAACCAGUACCGUGAGGGAAAGGCGAAAAGAACCCCGGCGAGGGGAGUGAAAAAGAACCUGAAACCGUGUACGUACAAGCAGUGGGAGCCUCUUUUAUGGGGUGACUGCGUACCUUUUGUAUAAUGGGUCAGCGACUUAUAUUCUGUAGCAAGGUUAACCGAAUAGGGGAGCCGAAGGGAAACCGAGUCUUAACCGGGCGUUAAGUUGCAGGGUAUAGACCCGAAACCCGGUGAUCUAGCCAUGGGCAGGUUGAAGGUUGGGUAACACUAACUGGAGGACCGAACCGACUAAUGUUGAAAAAUUAGCGGAUGACUUGUGGCUGGGGGUGAAAGGCCAAUCAAACCGGGAGAUAGCUGGUUCUCCCCGAAAGCUAUUUAGGUAGCGCCUCGUGAAUUCAUCUCCGGGGGUAGAGCACUGUUUCGGCAAGGGGGUCAUCCCGACUUACCAACCCGAUGCAAACUGCGAAUACCGGAGAAUGUUAUCACGGGAGACACACGGCGGGUGCUAACGUCCGUCGUGAAGAGGGAAACAACCCAGACCGCCAGCUAAGGUCCCAAAGUCAUGGUUAAGUGGGAAACGAUGUGGGAAGGCCCAGACAGCCAGGAUGUUGGCUUAGAAGCAGCCAUCAUUUAAAGAAAGCGUAAUAGCUCACUGGUCGAGUCGGCCUGCGCGGAAGAUGUAACGGGGCUAAACCAUGCACCGAAGCUGCGGCAGCGACACUGUGUGUUGUUGGGUAGGGGAGCGUUCUGUAAGCCUGUGAAGGUGUACUGUGAGGUAUGCUGGAGGUAUCAGAAGUGCGAAUGCUGACAUAAGUAACGAUAAAGCGGGUGAAAAGCCCGCUCGCCGGAAGACCAAGGGUUCCUGUCCAACGUUAAUCGGGGCAGGGUGAGUCGACCCCUAAGGCGAGGCCGAAAGGCGUAGUCGAUGGGAAACAGGUUAAUAUUCCUGUACUUGGUGUUACUGCGAAGGGGGGACGGAGAAGGCUAUGUUGGCCGGGCGACGGUUGUCCCGGUUUAAGCGUGUAGGCUGGUUUUCCAGGCAAAUCCGGAAAAUCAAGGCUGAGGCGUGAUGACGAGGCACUACGGUGCUGAAGCAACAAAUGCCCUGCUUCCAGGAAAAGCCUCUAAGCAUCAGGUAACAUCAAAUCGUACCCCAAACCGACACAGGUGGUCAGGUAGAGAAUACCAAGGCGCUUGAGAGAACUCGGGUGAAGGAACUAGGCAAAAUGGUGCCGUAACUUCGGGAGAAGGCACGCUGAUAUGUAGGUGAAGUCCCUCGCGGAUGGAGCUGAAAUCAGUCGAAGAUACCAGCUGGCUGCAACUGUUUAUUAAAAACACAGCACUGUGCAAACACGAAAGUGGACGUAUACGGUGUGACGCCUGCCCGGUGCCGGAAGGUUAAUUGAUGGGGUCAGCGCAAGCGAAGCUCUUGAUCGAAGCCCCGGUAAACGGCGGCCGUAACUAUAACGGUCCUAAGGUAGCGAAAUUCCUUGUCGGGUAAGUUCCGACCUGCACGAAUGGCGUAAUGAUGGCCAGGCUGUCUCCACCCGAGACUCAGUGAAAUUGAACUCGCUGUGAAGAUGCAGUGUACCCGCGGCAAGACGGAAAGACCCCGUGAACCUUUACUAUAGCUUGACACUGAACAUUGAGCCUUGAUGUGUAGGAUAGGUGGGAGGCUUUGAAGUGUGGACGCCAGUCUGCAUGGAGCCGACCUUGAAAUACCACCCUUUAAUGUUUGAUGUUCUAACGUGGACCCGUGAUCCGGGUUGCGGACAGUGUCUGGUGGGUAGUUUGACUGGGGCGGUCUCCUCCUAAAGAGUAACGGAGGAGCACGAAGGUUGGCUAAUCCUGGUCGGACAUCAGGAGGUUAGUGCAAUGGCAUAAGCCAGCUUGACUGCGAGCGUGACGGCGCGAGCAGGUGCGAAAGCAGGUCAUAGUGAUCCGGUGGUUCUGAAUGGAAGGGCCAUCGCUCAACGGAUAAAAGGUACUCCGGGGAUAACAGGCUGAUACCGCCCAAGAGUUCAUAUCGACGGCGGUGUUUGGCACCUCGAUGUCGGCUCAUCACAUCCUGGGGCUGAAGUAGGUCCCAAGGGUAUGGCUGUUCGCCAUUUAAAGUGGUACGCGAGCUGGGUUUAGAACGUCGUGAGACAGUUCGGUCCCUAUCUGCCGUGGGCGCUGGAGAACUGAGGGGGGCUGCUCCUAGUACGAGAGGACCGGAGUGGACGCAUCACUGGUGUUCGGGUUGUCAUGCCAAUGGCACUGCCCGGUAGCUAAAUGCGGAAGAGAUAAGUGCUGAAAGCAUCUAAGCACGAAACUUGCCCCGAGAUGAGUUCUCCCUGACCCUUUAAGGGUCCUGAAGGAACGUUGAAGACGACGACGUUGAUAGGCCGGGUGUGUAAGCGCAGCGAUGCGUUGAGCUAACCGGUACUAAUGAACCGUGAGGCUUAACCU
rnacentral:rRNA from 1 species